AACGAACGCUGGCGGCAGGCUUAACACAUGCAAGUCGAACGGCCUCUUCGGAGGCAGUGGCAGGCGGGUGAGUAACGCGUGGGAACAUACCUUUCGGUACGGAACAACAGUUGGAAACGACUGCUAAUACCGUAUACGCCCUAUGGGGGAAAGAUUUAUCGCCGAGAGAUUGGCCCGCGUCGGAUUAGCUAGUUGGUGGGGUAAUGGCCCACCAAGGCGACGAUCCGUAGCUGGUCUGAGAGGAUGAUCAGCCACACUGGGACUGAGACACGGCCCAGACUCCUACGGGAGGCAGCAGUGGGGAAUAUUGGACAAUGGGCGCAAGCCUGAUCCAGCCAUGCCGCGUGAGUGAUGAAGGCCCUAGGGUUGUAAAGCUCUUUCAGCGAGGAGGAUAAUGACGUUACUCGCAGAAGAAGCCCCGGCUAACUUCGUGCCAGCAGCCGCGGUAAUACGAAGGGGGCUAGCGUUGUUCGGAAUCACUGGGCGUAAAGCGCACGUAGGCGGACUUUUAAGUCAGGGGUGAAAUCCCGGGGCUCAACCUCGGAACUGCCUUUGAUACUGGAAGUCUUGAGUCCGAGAGAGGUGAGUGGAACUCCGAGUGUAGAGGUGAAAUUCGUAGAUAUUCGGAAGAACACCAGUGGCGAAGGCGGCUCACUGGCUCGGUACUGACGCUGAGGUGCGAAAGCGAGGGGAGCAAACAGGAUUAGAUACCCUGGUAGUCCACGCCGUAAACGAUGGAAGCUAGCCGUCAGGGUGCAUGCAUCUUGGUGGCGCAGCUAACGCAUUAAGCUCCCGCCU
rnacentral:rRNA from 1 species